ACCACGCCCGCCCUCGCGGCGAGCGUGUUGAGGUAUGCGUGAUAGAUGGGGGUGAAGGCGGACUCCACCACGAACGCGCCGCCGUGGAAGUAGACGAGCACGGGCACCCUGGCACUGGCGCGGAAGCUCGGGAGGUAGAGCCGCGCCGUGACGCCCGUGGACGGGUCGAUGUCGACGUCGCGGGAGGUGACGCCCGUGAGCGCGUCCGAGGACGCCGCCACCACGUCCGUGCCCAUCAGCCGCUUCAC
rnacentral:lncRNA from 1 species